GACGAACGCUGGCGGCGUGCUUAUCACAUGCAAGUCGAACGGAAAGGCCCUGCUUUUGUGGGGUGCUCGAGUGGCGAACGGGUGAGUAACACGUGAGUAACCUGCCCUUGACUUUGGGAUAACUUCAGGAAACUGGGGCUAAUACCGGAUAGGAGCUGCUGCUGCAUGGUGGGGGUUGGAAAGUUUCGGCGGUUGGGGAUGGACUCGCGGCUUAUCAGCUUGUUGGUGGGGUAGUGGCUUACCAAGGCAUUGACGGGUAGCCGGCCUGGGAGGGUUACCGGCCACAUUGGGACUGAAAUACGGCCCAGACUCCUACGGGAGGCAGCAGUGGAGAAUAUUGCACAAUAGGCGGAAGCCUGAUGCAGCAACGCCGCGUGCGGGAUGACGGCCUUCGGGUUGUAAACCGCUUUCGCCUGUGACGAAGCGUGAGUGACGGUAAUGGGUAAAGAAGCACCGGCUAACUACGUG
rnacentral:rRNA from 1 species